UUCUUCGAUCUUCAAUACGUCGCUCCGGACUUCUUCAAGACUCCGACUGGACCCACGAAACUUGCCAACACAUAGGACCUAAUACAAAUUAAGGGGUUAAAGGAAGGAUGUAGACCUAUCAUUGGGAUAGAUGGUUGUUUUCUGAAGGGAUCGUUUGGUGGACAGCUUAUUAGUGCUAUUGGUAGAGAUGGAAAUAAUCAGAUGUUUCCAAUUGCAGUGGCUAUUGUAGAAGCAGAACUAAAGGAUGUUGGAUUUUAUCCAAUAAUAAAUUUUGAUGAUAACAAACAAAUAUUGGAUUUAAUUUGUCAUUUAGCAAUUUCAGGUUAUAGUUUAAUUUAAAGUGGCUCAAGCUGAACCGGAAUUGAUCAAAGGUAACAAUUCAAUCAAAUUAUUCAAAUUGGCCCGGACAAGAUCAAAUUGUACCAAAUUGGAUACAAGUGCCACAACAAAAAUUUGGAGGACUUCUUUACAAUUUAUCGGAUUUGAGCCGGUCAACCUAGUCAAGUUGACAAAUUCACCUUUGGGUUUGAUUUGAGCUUAAUGUCAAAUUAGCCAUUAUUUUAAUAUGGUAUGAAAGUGAUUUUAUGUAUGGUAUAAAUUCAAAUUUGAUUUUAAUAUAGUAUGAAUUUAAAAAAUAUAGUAAUAUUUCAAAUGAGUUUUGCAAAUGUGGUAUGAAUUUAAAUUUUAUAAAUUUAGUAUAAUUUCAAAUGAGCUUUUCAAUAUAGUAAUAUUUCAAAUGUUUUGCAAAUGUGGUAUGAAUUCGAAUUUAUUUUGGAAUUAAUUCAAAUGCAUUUGCAAAUAUGGUUAAAAUUCAAAUUGAAAUCAAUUAUAAUUUAAUUAUGCUUUUGUUCCAUUUUUGAAAUGAUGGCUACUGUAUUUAAAGGGGGGCUUGGAUGUUGUUUGUGACACAACUUCAGAAAAAUUCUCUAAGUCCUAAUUGUUCAUAAUUUGUAAUUGUGAGCUUCUUGAGAGAUUGUAAAAGAAGUUUUGUGUGAUUGUAAGCGGCUUUGGUCUUGCCCUAUUCAAAAGGCCAAGUGAUAGUGAAAUCGGUACCUCGAGGAGAAAAAGGACCGGACUGGAGUAGGCAGAAGGGCCGAACCAGGAUAAAUCAUCUGUGUUAUCUGAGUUUCAUUUUCUUCUUUUAUUUGGUUGUGCAAUUUUUAUCUUGAUUUAAUUUUACUUGAGUUUUUAGUUUUCAACUAAUUC
rnacentral:lncRNA from 1 species